CCUACGGGUGGCUGCAGUGGGGGAUAUUGCACAAUGGGGGAAACCCUGAUGCAGCGACGCCGCGUGAGUGAAGAAGUAUUUCGGUAUGUAAAGCUCUAUCAGCAGGGAAGAAAAUGACAGUACCUGACCAAGAAGCCCCGGCUAACUACGUGCCAGCAGCCGCGGUAAUACGUAGGGGGCAAGCGUUAUCCGGAUUUACUGGGUGUAAAGGGAGCGUAGACGGUUAUGUAAGUCUGGAGUGAAAGCCCGGGGCCCAACCCCGGGACUGCUUUGGAAACUGUGUAACUGGAGUACAGGAGGGGCAGGCGGAAUUCCUGGUGUAGCGGUGAAAUGCGUAGAUAUCAGGAGGAACACCGAUUGCGAAGGCAGCUUACCAAGCUACUUCUGACGUUGAGGCACGAAAGCGUGGGGAGCAAACAGGAUUAGAUACCCGAGUAGUC
rnacentral:rRNA from 1 species